rnacentral:rRNA from 1 species
AGUCGAACGAAGCGAUUUAGCGGAAGUUUUCGGAUGGAAGCUAGAUUGACUGAGUGGCGGACGGGUGAGUAACGCGUGGGUAACCUGCCUCACACUGGGGGACAACAGUUAGAAAUGACUGCUAAUACCGCAUAAGCGCACAGGACCGCAUGGUCUAGUGUGAAAAACUCCGGUGGUGUGAGAUGGACCCGCGUUUGAUUAGCUAGUUGGUGGGGUAACGGCCUACCAAGGCGACGAUCAAUAGCCGACCUGAGAGGGUGACCGGCCACAUUGGGACUGAGACACGGCCCAAACUCCUACGGGAGGCAGCAGUGGGGAAUAUUGCACAAUGGGGGAAACCCUGAUGCA